GAUGAUUUAAUGUGGUCUAUAAUAAAAAAUCAGAGGGUGUGUAGCAAACACUUUCUAACAGGAAAACUUGUUAGUUUAGAAGAUGAAAAUCAUCCAGAUUGAGUUGGUUCCGUGACAAGACAUGGGUCAUAAUUGUACAAAUCUGAAAAAAAGGAUGAUAUUGAGAGAAAACUAAGGGCUGACUAAAGAAGAAAAGUACAAUAUGAAGCCAUUCUUAACACGUCUGAAGCAGAACCUCAUCGGGUGAUUGAAACAGAUGUUUGAAUCAACAGUUUUAGUGUACAAACAUACAUCACGAUGGAUGACUUAUGCAACAAAUUUGAGUAGCUUAGUUUUGCAACAUCUAAAAUUAGUAAUUUCGCCUUAUUGCAGAUUACAUACCGUUUACACAAAUGACAGCUCUAGGCAAGUUUAAAAGAUUUGGCUUAUCGUUUUAAAGUGUCUUUUGCUACAGCCUUAACAACAUUUGAAGUAAUCAAUAAUGAUUUAUACAAAAGGUA